GAUGAACGCUGGCGGCGUGCCUAAUACAUGCAAGUCGAGCGAACGGACGAGAAGCUUGCUUUUCUGAUGUUAGCGGCGGACGGGUGAGUAACACGUGGAUAACCUACCUAUAAGACUGGGAUAACUUCGGGAAACCGGAGCUAAUACCGGAUAAUAUUUUGAACCGCAUGGUUCAAAAGUGAAAGACGGUCUUGCUGUCACUUAUAGAUGGAUCCGCGCUGCAUUAGCUAGUUGGCAAGGUAACGGCUUACCAAGGCAACGAUGCAUAGCCGACCUGAGAGGGUGAUCGGCCACACUGGAACUGAGACACGGUCCAGACUCCUACGGGAGGCAGCAGUAGGGAAUCUUCCGCAGUGGGCGAAAGCCUGACGGAGCAACGCCGCGUGAGUGAUGAAGGUCUUCGGAUCGUAAAACUCUGUUAUUAGGGAAGAACAUAUGUGUAAGUAACUGUGCACAUCUUGACGGUACCUAAUCAGAAAGCCACGGCUAACUACGUG
rnacentral:rRNA from 1 species